rnacentral:rRNA from 1 species
UACAGAGGGUGCGAGCGUUGUUCGGAAUUAUUGGGCGUAAAGCGCGUGUAGGCGGCUUUGCAAGUCGGGUGUGAAAGCCCUCAGCUCAACUGAGGAAGUGCGCCCGAAACUGCAGAGCUUGAGUACCGGAGAGGAUGGCGGAAUUCCCCAAGUAGAGGUGAAAUUCGUAGAUAUGGGGAGGAACACCGGUGGCGAAGGCGGCCAUCUGGACGGAUACUGACGCUGAGACGCGAAAGCGUGGGUAGCAAACAGG